CUGUUGGCAGAGGGGAGAUAUGGAUCGGAGUUGGAUGUAUGAAAAACGCACUACAUUCAAAUAUAUUCAAGGGGUUCAAGAGUUUAUACAAUAUGCUGAAGAAAAUA